ACGUAGGGGGCAAGCGUUAUCCGGAAUUAUUGGGCGUAAAGAGUGCGUAGGUGGUUUUUUAAGCGUGAGGUGAAAGGCAAUAGCUUAACUAUUGUAAGCCUUGCGAACUGGAAGACUUGAGUGCAGGAGAGGAAAGUGGAAUUCCUAGUGGGGCGGUGUCAGGCCUGUAGCUGACGCGGAGCCCCAGAGGCGUGGGCGACAAACAGGACUAUAACCCAUAGUCCUGCGGCAGAGUGUCCCCCACAUACAU
rnacentral:rRNA from 1 species